CCUCAGAGUUCUGGCCACUCUUGUAUAGCUCAGGCAAUGCCAGGAGUGUUUCUGCAGAGAUGUCUUUGUCAAGGACUCCAAAGACAAGAGGAGGCAAGGAGGUAAAGAAGAGAUUGAAGAAUAUCAUCUGCCAGUAAUCAAUCAUGGUGGAGCUGGAGAAACCACAGAAGAACUGAUACCAGAAGAGCAGGUUGACGUAGCACUGCAGGCAGAGAGCAUGGCCUUGUGAGUGGACAUCCCAUACCUACAGCUCCAAUAAGGCACAUGAGGAUGAGGAUCCCAAUGCAGAAGAAGAUGUCUAUAUUCAUGCGCCGCUCAAUCUUGCUGCGUUUGUACCGGGGGCCACUGUUGUUCAGCAUGGCUUUCGUCUCAUGGCCUUUGAGAGAAAAU
rnacentral:lncRNA from 1 species